AGACCUCAGUCGAGAUCGAUUGCUCCCUCCGUCUCUCUCUCUCUCUCUCUCUCUCUCUCUGUAGCUCGAUCCUUAGCAGCUUAAGCGCAUUGAGUGCCUCGUUUGAUCGGCCGACAACCUCAACUCCAUCGAUCGCAAGUCUGUUACUUGCCUCGCAGGCUGAUUGAAAGUAAAUUGUUGUCCUGUGCUUUGGUUGCAAUUUUGGCCUCACAGUGCCAGUUGCUACAACUCAUUAUUGAUCUCUGUGGAUUUUACUAGUUUUUCAUUGGUUUGUCGAGAAAUAGUGGAGCCAGCUUGCCAAAACUCGAUGGGUUCCAGAUUUCUAUCACAUCAACUCAGCAAUGGAUUGUAUGUUUCAGGCCGGCCUGAGCCACCAAAAGAAAAACCUCUAACAAUGAGCUCCGCAGCCAUGCCAUAUACAGGAGGAGAUAUAAAAAAAUCAGGAGAGCUUGGAAAGAUGUUUGAUCUGCAUGUGGAGAAGUCCAGAAAAUCUGGACCUCUUAAUGUUCCUCUUAAGAGUACAUCUUUUGGAGGUGCUGCUUCCCAGUCAGGCCCUAUCAUGCCUAAUUCCUCUAGCCGGUCUAGCUAUUCUGGUUCACUCUCUUCUGCAGUUCCUGGUUCCGGUCCUUCACUAGUAACUGGAGGCUCCAACAGACAGAAAUCUAAUUAUGGGCCACUUAAACAUGGGGAUGUUGUUAAGAAGUCAUCUGGUCCUCAAUCUGGAGGGGUCACCCCAAUGGCUCGCCAGAAUUCUGGUCCGCUUCCACCAGUGCUUCCAGCUACAGGGCUUAUCACAUCUGGGCCUCUUAACUCAUCAGGUGCGCCUCGAAAAGUAUCUGGCCCUCUGGAAUCUGCUGGAUCUAUGAAGCUGCAUAGCACCUUCAUUGUUCAUAACCAGGCUGUUACGAAGCUCAGCCAGGAUGAUGGCUAUUCAUUUAGUGGGAGCUUGCCCAAACUGUUCUUGUGGUGUGUGGGUUUGUUGUUCAUAAUGGGGUUUAUUGCCGGUGGCUUCAUUCUUGGUGCUGUUCACAAUGGGAGUAUGCUCCAUUAUCUGUAGAUAUUUUCUCCCAAAUAAGAUCUUGCCUUGUAUUAGUAAUGAUGCAAUAUAGCAGUUGGUAGGAUGUCUGCUUCUUAUGAGGGUGAUUGAGCUGUCUAAGAAGGAAGUAUGCUCCAUUAUCUGUAGAUAUUUUCUCCCAAAUAAGAUCUUGCCUUGUAUUAGUAAUGAUGCAAUAUAGCAGUUGGUAGGAUGUCUGCUUCUUAUGAGGGUGAUUGAGCUGUCUAAGAAGGAAGUAUGCUCCAUUAUCUGUAGAUAUUUUCUCCCAAAUAAGAUCUUGCCUUGUAUUAGUAAUGAUGCAAUAUAGCAGUUGGUAGGAUGUCUGCUUCUUAUGAGGGUGAUUGAGCUGUCUAAGAAGGAAGUAUGCUCCAUUAUCUGUAGAUAUUUUCUCCCAAAUAAGAUCUUGCCUUGUAUUAGUAAUGAUGCAAUAUAGCAGUUGGUAGGAUGUCUGCUUCUUAUGAGGGUGAUUGAGCUGUCUAAGAAGGAAGUAUGCUCCAUUAUCUGUAGAUAUUUUCUCCCAAAUAAGAUCUUGCCUUGUAUUA